GACGAACGCUGGCGGCGUGCUUAACACAUGCAAGUCGAACGAAGUGGCGAACGGGUGAGUAACGCGUAAUCAACCUGCCCUUCAGAGGGGGACAACAGUUGGAAACGACUGCUAAUACCGCAUACUGAAGGACGGGAAUGCGUCUGAUUAGCUCGUUGGGGGGGUAACGGCCCACCAAGGCGAUGAUCAGUAGGCUGUCUGAGAGGGUGAACGGCCACAUUGGGACUGAGACACGGGCCAGACUCCUACGGGAGGCAGCAGGGGGGAAUCGUCCGCAAUGGACGAAAGGCUGACGGAGCAACGCCGCGUGAGGGAUGACGGCCUUCGGGUUGUAAAGCUCUGUUAAUCGGGACGCGGUACCGGAAUAGAAAGCCACGGCUAACUACGUGCCAGCAGCCGCGGUAAUAC
rnacentral:rRNA from 1 species